UUUUGAAAAGGCCAAACCCUUCGCGAGGAGGGGGCGGAAAGCGAGGGAUCUUCCCUGAAGAGAAGAUGGCCGAGCUGCCAAA
rfam:Pelobacter propionicus DSM 2379, complete genome.